rnacentral:rRNA from 1 species
GAUCCUGGCUUAGGAUUAACGCUAGCUACAGGCUUAACACAUGCAAGUCGAGGGGCAGCGGGAUUGAAGCUUGCUUCAAUUGCCGGCGACCGGCGCACGGGUGAGUAACGCGUAUCCAACCUUCCGUACACUCAGGGAUAGCCUUUCGAAAGAAAGAUUAAUACCUGAUGGUAUGAUGAGAUUGCAUGGUAUCAUCAUUAAAGAUUUAUCGGUGUACGAUGGGGAUGCGUUCCAUUAGG